rnacentral:rRNA from 1 species
UGAGGAAUAUUGCGCAAUGGGGGAAACCCUGACGCGGCAACGCCGCGUGAGUGAGGAAGGUUUUCGGACCGUAAGGCUCUGUCGAGCGGGAAGAAAUGCAUUGUGGCUAAUAUCCAUGAUGCUUGACGGUACCACCAGAGGAAGCACCGGCUAACUCCGUGCCAGCAGCCGCGGUAAUACGGGGGGUGCAAGCGUUGUUCGGAAUCAUUGGGCGUAAAGAGCGUGUAGGCGGCUUGGUAAGUCAGUUGUGAAAGCCCUGGGCUUAACCCAGGAAGUGCAUUUGAUACUGUCUAGCUAGAGUAAGGGAGAGGAAAGCGGAAUUCCUGGUGUAGAGGUGAAAUUCGUAGAUAUCAGGAGGAACACCGGUGGCGAAGGCGGCUUUCUGGCCCUAUACUGACGCUCAUGUGCGAAAGCUAGGGCAGCGAACG